UGUUAAUGUCUGCUGUAGAGAAAAGUGAUUCAUAUAUAUAUAUAUAUAUAUUCUUUUUCAUAUUCCUUUCCAUUAUGGUUUAUUACUGGCUAUUGAAUAUGGUUCUCUGUGCUACCCAGUAGGACCCUGUAGUUUAUCCAUUCUGUAUGUAAUAGUUUGCAUUGGCUAACCCCACAUUCCCAGUCCUUCCCUCCCCACUCCCCUCCCCCUUGGCAACCACAAUUCUGUUGUCUGUAUUGGUGAGUCUGUUUCUGUUUUGUACCUGAGUUAAUUUAUGUCACUUUUUUAGAUCCAGCAUAUAAGUGAUAUCAAAUGGUAUGUGUCUUUCUCUUUCUGACUUGCGUCACUUAGUAUGAUAAUCUCUAGGUUCAUCCAUGUUGCUGCCAGUGGCAUUAUUUCAUUCUUUUUUAUGGCUGAGUAGUAUUCCAGUGUGUGUGUGUGUGUGUGUGUGUGUGUGUGUGUGUGUGUGUGUGUGUGUGUAUACCACAUCUUUAUCCAUUCAUCUCUCGAUGGCCAUUUAGUUUGUUUCCAUGUCUUGGUUGCUAUAAACAGUGCUGCUGUGAACAUUGGGGUCAUGUAUCUUUUUGAAUUAGAGUAUCCUGGGAUAUGUGCCCAGGAAUGGGAUUGCUGGAUUACAUGGCAACUCUAUUUUUAGUUUUUUGAGAAACCUCCAUACUGUUUUCCAUAGUGGCUACACCAAUUUGCAUUCCUGCCAACAGUGGAGGAGAGUUUCCUUUUCUCCACACCCUCUCCAGGAUUUGUUAUUUGUAGACUUUUUAAUAACUGAUGUGAGGUGGUACCUCAGUGUAGUUUUGGUUUGCAUUUCUGUAAUAAUUAGUGAUACUGAGCAUCUUUUUGUGUGCCUAUUGGCCACAUGUGUGUCUUCUGUGGAGAAAUGUUUAUUUAGGUCUUCUGCUCAUUUUUUGAUUGGAUUGAGUUGUUGUUGUUGUUAUUGAGUUGUAUGAGCUGUUUGUAUAUUUCAGAAAUUAAGCCCUUGUCAGUAAUGUCAUUUGCAAAUAUUUCCUCCUAGUCCAUAGGUUGUAUUUUCAUUUUAUUUAUGGUUUCCUUUUCUGUGCAAAAGUUUAUAAAUUUGAUUAGGUCCCAUGAAUUGUACAUUUUUAAAGGUGACUUGUAGAAAACGGAUAGUAAUGCAAACCAUUCUUGUCCAAAGCAAUGCAAAUUAACCUAGGUCUAUAGAGAUACCCCCUAUAGAAUAUUGAUCAAUUUUGCAUCUAUUAGCAAAUACAUUCCAGCAUACCUGAUUAAUCUGUAUCUGUACCUAUUUUUCUGUCAGAUUCUCCUUUGAGAUGGUCUUAACAUCUUAUUAGUUUCAUCAUGAAUUAAUGAGUUGAAUGAAAGUGUUGGUCUGUGUUCAUUUUAUGUUUGUAAUGAGAGUCAUGCUUUUAACUUUUUGAAAAUUAUACUUUGGCAAUAAGAAGGGGUGACACAAUUGGCAGGAUGCUGAAAUAAUUUCAUUGUAGUAGAAAGAUGGAAAGUGGAGAGAGAAGAGAAAAGGAACCUCAAAGAUACUGUGCUCUCCUAUACAGGAUACAGACACCCCACUAAUAGACUCCCUGACCUCAAGAAAAGAUGUUAGUCCCUUAACCUAACACCCUUGGCAAAGCACAUCUGGAGAGGCAGGCCUGGCAUCUGGGACAUGUCUCCACUUUGAGAGCAACAAAACCCCUGUGGGCCCCUCCUCCAUUCUGAUUGGCUGUCUGACAAAACAUAGGAACAGAGGCACAGAAGUGUGUCCUCUGUGCAAUGAUGGACAUUUGGAGACAAAAGCACUCCACUCAUUCAAAACUUCAUCACCACCAUUUGCACAGAUUUAGGGUUAGGGUUAGGUCAGUGCUAGGGUUCAGUUAGGGUUAGGUUUCAGUUAGGCUUAAGUUAGUGUUAGGGUUUGGUUAGGGUUAAGGCUUGAUUAGGGUUAGGGUUUUGUUAGGUGGCCAACCAAAGUGGCCAUGGUUUUGUAUGAAACAGCAAAGUCUCUUCUCCAGGAGUGGGGAGAAGCUUCAUUGUCUAGUCUGCCUAUAUCAUCAUUGCUUCUCUUGAGUUUGCCUCUGGGCUCUGCAUCUGCUUCUACACCCCCAGCCCUGAUUCCUAUGUCCCUGACCUGGCAGCCCAUUCUCACUUUAUCAGCUUCAUUCUGACCUCCUCUCGGGCCCCUUGACCUUCUUUUCACACCUGCAAUGGUCAAAAAAUGAAAUUGAAAGAGGAAGUGGGAACAAAACUGAAUCUGUCAAGACUUAGACCUGGAGCUCUGAAAAAUCCUAAGAGUACCUCUUUUGGUUUUCAGUUCACAACUAUGCUGUUUAAUCCGUAAUAGAAUCAUCCUUGGUGUUAUCGAUAAGCCUCCACUUGUUACCAAAUGUAAUAGUUUUCAAUUUUUAAUUCAUUUGAUAUUUUUAAUCCUGAACAAUAUAUGCUUGUGAAAUUAUUGAUUUUGGGGGCAACACUCUUUCAAGUCCUCCUGUUGGCUUGGCUUUGAGGUCACAUUUUUAGCUUUAUGACCUCUCCAGAUUAUGUCUUUGUUUCCUCUUAUAGCAGGAAUCUUGUGAAGGGUGGCUCUGUCCCUUAGGGCCUGGAUUCUGGGUCCUAUUAAAGGUAACCUGCAGUGAAAGUCCCCUCUGUGCUUGUCCACAGUCACAGCAAUGCAGGAUCCUUAACCCACUGAGUGAGGCCAGGCAUCAAACCUGCAACCUCAUGGAUCCUAGUUGGGUUCAUUAACUGCUUAGCCACAAAGGGAACUUCCUGUCUUUUUUUAUAUAUAUAAUUUUUAUAUAUAUUUUUAUAAUCUCUUCAUAUGUGUGUCUCACUGAGAUGUUACCAGGCCUAAAUGAGGUAAGCUAGGGCUCACACCUACCACAGGGCUUGCUCUGUGUUGACUCUCAAAUGCCCCCUGUUAUAAUCACCUCUGGUUAAUGCAACCCCGGCCCUGAGCACACCUGUGACAUUGCUCUUUUCUGACUGUGCUGCUGACGCUGCUUUCAGAUGAUGAAUACAGACUUCUCUCAGCACAGGGGGCCAUUCAAGGCCAGAGGCCACUGGACUCAUUUUUCACUUUUAAAUCCAGGAAAGGGGACAAAUGAUGCUAUUAAAAACAGACUUUGGUCAGUGUUAUCAUACUAACCAGUAAGUUCUUUUUGGUAAAUAUCAGUAACCACCACUCGUCGAAAUAAGUGAGGGCUAUAGCUCUCCCCACCCCUAGCCCAUACACUUAGGAAAGGUAACUCGAUUAAAUGGAAAUACGUCACAGACCAAAUUCAAACAUGUACUAAACAUGUAUUAAAAAUAAAGCCCCAAACAGGCCUACACCAUGUUCAUUAACCUCCUGAAAUCUCCUCAUAGCUGGCAUUAUAUAUUAAUGUCAAGACAAAAUCACAACCAUAGCCUGGAAGUAAUAUCCUGAUUGGCAUCAGGCAACCAGAACCUUCUGAGUCAAAAGGUGGAUGUAGGACCAUUCAGUUCAAACCUUAGGUGCCAUUCUAAGAGGUGAGAGGUGAAAGGCUCACUAAAUUUUAGCCAACCCAUCUUCCAAAACAAAUGUCAUCAAUAAAAUCACUUUUAUAACCCCCUUUGGGCAAAUUAACAAAUUCUCUGUUGUGGAUGGAGAGAAAGACAGCUGGAGUGUGGGCAUUUGAUUAUCUGCUUCCUACCCACUCCUGGAGUGUGUAUUUGUGAUUAGGAUUAGGAUGUCUGAUACUGUGUCUGGGAUGAGGAUUAAAAUUUAUGUGUAGUUUUUUUUUUCCAAAGUAAAUUACUUGCCGACACCACAACCACCAUCUGCCCUCCAGAAGUCGCAGGACUCUGUGGACUUGUAGCUUACUUAGAGUACUGUCAUUAAAAGCACCCUCUUCAGGGACUGGCACAGCAGGAGAUCCUGGCGUCCCCCUUUGUAAGGACAAUGCAUGACCCUUCUCAAGUCUAGGGCAGUUCAUCUAAAGAAUGUAAACAUGUUUCGAGCUCCUGCUGUGGUACACCAGGAUCAGCUGUGUCCCUGGAGCACUGGGAUGCAGGUUCAAUCCCCAUCCCAUCACAGUGGGUUAAAGGAUCCAGCAUUGCCACAGCUGUAGCUGGGAUAUGAUCCCUGACCUGGGAAUUCCAUGUGCCAUGGGGCAGCCAAAAGAA
rnacentral:lncRNA from 1 species